GCAGUCGCCACGGUAAUACAGAGGGUGCGAGCGUUAAUCGGAUUUACUGGGCGUAAAGCGUGCGUAGGUGGUGGUUUAAGUCCGUUGUGAAAGCCCUGGGCUCAACCUGGGAAUUGCAGUGGAUACUGGGUCACUAGAGUGUGGUAGAGGAUAGUGGAAUUUCCGGUGUAGCAGUGAAAUGCGUAGAGAUCGGAAGGAACAUCUGUGGCGAAGGCGACUAUCUGGGCCAACACUGACACUGAGGCACGAAAGCGUGGGGAGCAAACAGGAUUAGAUACCCGCGUAGUCCCUGUCUCUUAUAA
rnacentral:rRNA from 1 species